UGGGGAAUAUUGUCCCGAGUAGAAUUUUAUAUUGCACGAGCUUGCGAGUGCAGUAUAUGUUCUACGAGGGACAAUAUUCCCUAAUAUUCAUGCAAUAACCUUUUUAUUGUUUAGCAAUAUAAUAUUUGAAAGUAAAAAUUGGUUUAAACUAAGAUUUAAACGUUGAUGACGUCAUGAAUUUUGAAGAUUUAUUGCACUAGUGCAAUAUUAGAAUUUAUUGCACGCUAACUUUUGGUUACGUUCUGUGGGAAAUAUUAUAUUGCUAUACAAUAAAAUGUAUUAUUGUCAUACAUUAUAUAAUUGAUUUUCAACGUAUUUAAUCAACUUUUGUUUUUUCUCGUAAAUGAACAUGACUUAAUAGCGCUCUUGAAAUGUUUAAUUCAAACUCUCACAUUGCUCUUCUUUCCGUUAUCUUGGCUGUUGUUGAUGAAGUAACAACAUGCUAAUGCCUCUUAUGCUCCUGAGCUCACCCUGAUUUUAGUGAGUUUUUGUGCUGCCUUAAAUUUGGUUUGCUUUGACUAUUUUAUUUAUUUGUUGACCAUUGUUUGUCUUUUUCUCUUUCUUUUUUUUAUUGGCCAUGGUUUUAUGUGUCUUAAUUUCUUUCUCUGAUAUUUUUUUAGGUAUCCUUUUACUUUUUUCUUUUAUAAACGAACCAGUUGUAACUACUGCUGAUUGAAUAAUUUUAGAAUCAAAAGCAUGUCUCCGGAAAUGAUUUUCAGGCAAAGGAAGCAGUCUUAAUGAUGUGCAGUGACGUUGUAGAGCAGAACAUGCUUAUUG
rnacentral:lncRNA from 1 species